GUGUCAGCAGCCGCGGUAAUACGUAGGGUGCAAGCGUUAAUCGGAAUUACUGGGCGUAAAGCGUGCGCAGGCGGUUAUGCAAGACAGGUGUGAAAUCCCCGAGCUCAACUUGGGAACUGCAUUUGUGACUGCAUAGCUAGAGUACGGUAGAGGGGAGUGGAAUUCCGCGUGUAGCAGUGAAAUGCGUAGAUAUGCGGAGGAACACCGAUGGCGAAGGCAGCUCCCUGGACCUGUACUGACGCUCAUGCACGAAAGCGUGGGGAGCAAACAGGAUUAGAUACCCUUGUAGUCC
rnacentral:rRNA from 1 species